rnacentral:rRNA from 1 species
GUGAGGAAUAUUGCGCAAUGGAGGCAACUCUGACGCAGCCAUGCCGCGUGCAGGAAGAAGGCGCUACGCGUUGUAAACUGCUUUUAACCGGGAAGAAACCCCAGGACGUGUCCUGGGUUGACGGUACCGGAGGAAUAAGCACCGGCUAACUUCGUGCCAGAAGCCGCGGUAAUACGAAGGGUGCAAGCGUUAUCCGGAUGCAUUGGGGUGAAAGGGUGCGUAGGCGGAGGGUUAAGUCAGUGGUGAAAUCCUGCAGCUUAACUGUAGACUUGCCAUUGAUACUGGCGCUCUUGAGUGCGCUUGAAGUGGGCGGAAUGUGCCGUGUAGCGGUGAAAUGCUUAGAUAUGGCACAGAACACCAAUUGCGAAGGCAGCUCACUAAGGCGAUACUGACGCUGAGGCACGAAAGCGUGGGGAUCGAACAGGAUUAGAUACCCUGGUAGUCC